rfam:Halanaerobium hydrogeniformans chromosome, complete genome.
CGGAGCGUGGCGCAGCUUGGUAGCGCACCUGCUUUGGGAGCAGGGGGUCGAAGGUUCAAAUCCUUUCGCUCCGA